GGAGAAAUGGCGGAGUGGUCGAUUGCGGCAGUCUUGAAAACUGUUGAGGGAUACACCUCCGGGGGUUCGAAUCCCUCUUUCUCCG
rnacentral:tRNA from 1 species